rnacentral:rRNA from 1 species
UGCGAGUGAAGCGGGAACAGCUCAAAUUUGAAAUCUCCGGGGUUCCCCUGGCGAAUUGUAGUUUCAAGAAGUGUUUUCGGCGGCGGCCUUGGCUCAAGUCCCUUGGAACAGGGUGUAUGAGGGUGAGAACCCCGUGAAGCCUUGGCUUGCUGCUAUGUGAUACACUUUCAAAGAGUCGGAUUGUUUGGAUUGCAGUCCAAAAGGGAGGUAAAUUUCUUCUAAAGCUAAAUACUGGCGAGAGACCGAUAGCGAACAAGUACCGUGAGGGAAAGAUGAAAAGAACUUUGAAAAGAGAGUUAAACAGUACGUGAAAUUGUCAAAAGGGAAAGGCUUGAAACCAGUCAUGCUGUCUGAGAUUCAGCGGGCCACCCUGGAACGUCUACUUCUCAGAUGGCAGGUCAACGUCAGUUCUCUUCGUGUCGAAAGGCCUUUGGAAGGUAGCCUGCCUCCGGGUGGGUGUUAUAGACUUUGGCUCUGGCACGUGGGGGGACUGAGGACCGCAGGGCGCAUUGGGUUAGUUGGGUAGGUCCAUUCCUUUCUGCAGACUGCAUGCAGGCUGCAGGAAGGCGCAAUCCUUUCCUGGCAACACCUCUCCGUCCCUUAGGACGUUGACGAAAUGGUUUUAAACCACCCGUCUUGAAACACGGACCAAGGAGUCUAACAUAUAUGCGAGUGUUUGGGUGGCAAACCCAUGCGCGAAAUGAAAGUGAUUCAGGUGGGAUCCUCGGUGCACCAUCGACCGGUCUGGAUUAAUUGAUAGAUCUGAGUAAGAGCAUACAUGUUGGGACCCGAAAGAUGGUGAACUAUGCCUGAAUAGGGCGAAGCCAGAGAAA